rnacentral:rRNA from 1 species
UACGGGGGGGGCAAGCGUUGUUCGGAAUUACUGGGCGUAAAGGGCGCGUAGGCGGUGCUCUAAGUUAGAUGUGAAAACUCUGGGCUCAACCCAGAGCCUGCAUCUAAAACUGGAGUGCUAGAGUUCUGGAGGGGGUAGCGGAAUUCCUGGUGUAGCGGUGAAAUGCGUAGAUAUCUGGAGGAAUACCGGUGGCGAAGGCGGCAUCCUGGACCGACAUUGACGCUGAACGGCGAAAGCUAGGGGAGCAAACGGG